GCAGGUAUAGCUCAAUGGCAGAGCUCCGGCUUCCCAAGCCGGCUAUGCGGGUUCGAUUCCCGUUACCUGCUCCA
rnacentral:tRNA from 2 species